rnacentral:lncRNA from 1 species
AUGACCGAGUCCUCUGUGUGCGAGUCCAGCCUGUGGCUGAGCGUCCCUGCCCUGCACACCCCCGUGCUGCCAACGGCUCCGGGGCCACGAGCAGGACCGGACCGGGCCGGACUGGGCCGUGACGAUGCGCAGCCCGAGGGUACGUUCCCGCCCUGUCCCACCGCUCGGUGCCCAGGCCUGCUCGGUACCCAGGGCUCGGUGCCCAGGCCCGUUCGGUGCCCAGGCCCGCUUGGUGCCCAGGGUUCAGUGCCCAGGCCCGCUCGGUACCCAGGGUUCGGUGCCCAGGGUUCGGUGCCCAGGGUUCGGUGCCCAGGCCCACCCAGUGCCUCUUGGUGCCUAGGCCCGCUCGGUGCCCAGGGUUCGGUGCCCAGGGUUCGGUGCCCUGGCCCGCUCGGUGCCGAGGGCUCAGUGCCCAUGCCCGUUCGGUGCCCACGGCCGUUUGGUGCCCAGGGUUCGGUGCCUAGGCCCGCCCGGUGCCCAGGGUUCGGUACCCAGGGUUCGGUGCCCAGGGUUCGGUGCCCAGGGUCCGGUACCCAUGGUUCAGUGCCCAGGGUUCGUGCCCAGGGCUCGGUACCCAGGGUUCGGUGCACAGGGUUCAGUACCCAGGGUUCGUGCCCAGGGCUCGGUGCCCAGGCCCGUUCGGUGCCCAGGGUUCGGUACCCAGGGCUCGGUGCCCAGGGUUCUGUGCCCAGGGCUCGGUGCCCAGGCCCACCCGGUGCCAUUCGGUACCCAGGGCUCGGUGCACAGGGUUCAGUACCCAGGGUUCGUGCCCAGGGCUCGGUGCCCAGGCCCGUUCGGUGCCCAGGUUUCGGUGCCCGGGGUUCGGUGCCCAGGCCGUUCGGUACCCAGGGCUCGGUGCCCAGGGCUCGGUACCCAGGGCUCGGUGCCCAGGGUUCGGUACCCAGGGUUCGGUGCCGAGGGUUCGGUACCCAGGGCUCGGUACCCAGGGCUCGGUGCCCAGGGUUCUGUGCCCAGAGUUCUGUGCCCGGGGUUCGGUGCCCAGGGUUCGGUGCCCGGGGAACGGUGCCCAGGGCUCGGUGCCCCCCCGCGCUCCCGGCACGAGCCGCGCCCUCCGCGGCCCACCCGGGCCGGGCUCCGGUGAAUCAGCACAGGCGGGGCCCAGGGGGGGGCGAGGGGGCGGUGCCUUGGCGCGGGGCACGACGGGAGAUGUAG